rnacentral:rRNA from 1 species
UACGUAGGGUGCGAGCGUUGUCCGGAAUUACUGGGCGUAAAGAGCUCGUAGGUGGUUUGUCGCGUUGUUCGUGAAAACCUGAGGCUUAACCUUGGGCGUGCGGGCGAUACGGGCAGACUGGAGUACUGCAGGGGAGACUGGAAUUCCUGGUGUAGCGGUGGAAUGCGCAGAUAUCAGGAGGAACACCGGUGGCGAAGGCGGGUCUCUGGGCAGUAACUGACGCUGAGGAACGAAAGCGUGGGGAGCGAACAGG